rnacentral:rRNA from 1 species
GAUGAACGCUGGCGGCGUGCCUAAUACAUGCAAGUCGAACGAAACUUCUUUAUCACCGAGUGCUUGCACUCACCGAUAAAGAGUUGAGUGGCGAACGGGUGAGUAACACGUGGGCAACCUGCCCAAAAGAGGGGGAUAACACUUGGAAACAGGUGCUAAUACCGCAUAACCAUAGUUACCGCAUGGUAACUAUGUAAAAGGUGGCUAUACUACCGCUUUUGGAUGGGCCCGCGGCGCAUUAGCUAGUUGGUAGGGUAAAGGCUUACCAAGGCAAUGAUGCGUAGCCGAAUUGAGAGGUUGAUCGGCAACAUUGGGACUGAGACACGGCCCAAACUCCUACGGGAGGCAGCAGUAGGGAAUCUUCCACAAUGGGCGAAAGCCUGAUGGAGCAACGCCGCGUGGGUGAAGAAGGUCUUCGGAUCGUAAAACCCUGUUGUUAGAGAAGAAAGUGCGUGAGAGUAACUGUUCACGUUUCGACGGUAUCUAACCAGAAAGCCACGGCUAACUACGUG